CCUACGGGCGGCAGCAGUGAGGAAUAUUGGUCAAUGGACGAGAGUCUGAACCAGCCAAGUAGCGUGAAGGAUGACUGCCCUAUGGGUUGUAAACUUCUUUUAUAUGGGAAUAAAACGUUCCACGUGUGGGAUUUUGUAUGUACCAUAUGAAUAAGGAUCGGCUAACUCCGUGCCAGCAGCCGCGGUAAUACGGAGGAUCCGAGCGUUAUCCGGAUUUAUUGGGUUUAAAGGGAGCGUAGGUGGAUUGUUAAGUCAGUUGUGAAAGUUUGCGGCUCAACCGUAAAAUUGCAGUUGAAACUGGCAGUCUUGAGUACAGUAGAGGUGGGCGGAAUUCGUGGUGUAGCGGUGAAAUGCUUAGAUAUCACGAAGAACUCCGAUUGCGAGGCAGUUCACUGGACUGCAACUGACACUGAGGCUCGAAAGUGUGGGUAUCAAACAGGAUUAGAUACCCCUGUAGUC
rnacentral:rRNA from 1 species